UACGUAGGGACCGAGCGUUGUCCGGAAUCAUUGGGCGUAAAGAGCGUGUAGGCGGCCUGUUAAGUCUUGCGUGAAAUCUCGGGGCUCAACCCCGAGCGGUCGUGAGAAACUGGCAGGCUAGAGUGCGGGAGAGGAGAGUGGAAUUCCUGGUGUAGCGGUGAAAUGCGCAGAUAUCAGGAAGAACACCGGUGGCGAAGGCGGCGCCUCGU
rnacentral:rRNA from 1 species